rnacentral:rRNA from 1 species
AAAGGGUCCGUAGGCGGACUCGUAAGUCAGUGUGAAAUCUCAUAGCUUAACUAUGAAACUGCCAUUGAUACUGCGGGUCUUGAGUAAAGUAGAAGUGGCUGGAAUAAGUAGUGUAGCGGUGAAAUGCAUAGAUAUUACUUAGAACACCAAUUGCGAAGGCAGGUCACUAUGUUUUAACUGACGCUGAUGGACGAAAGCGUGGGGAGCGAACAGGAUUAGAUACCCUGGUAGUCCACGCCGUAAACGAUGCUAACUCGUUUUUGGGACUUCGGUUUCAGAGACUAAGCGAAAGUGAUAAGUUAGCCACCUGGGGAGUACGUUCGCAAGAAUGAAACUCAAAGGAAUUGACGGGGGCCCGCACAAGCGGUGGAUUAUGUGGUUUAAUUCGAUGAUACGCGAGGAACCUUACCAAGGCUUAAAUGGGAAUUGAUCGGUUUAGAAAUAGACUUUCCUUCGGGCAAUUUUCAAGGUGCUGCAUGGUUGUCGUCAGCUCGUGCCGUGAGGUGUUAGGUUAAGUCCUGCAACGAGCGCAACCCCUGUCACUAGUUGCUAACAUUAAGUUGAGGACUCUAGUGAGACUGCCUACGCAAGUAGAGAGGAAGGUGGGGAUGACGUCAAAUCAUCACGGCCCUUACGCCUUGGGCCACACACGUAAUACAAUGGCCGGUACAGAGGGCAGCUACUUAGCGAUAAGAUGCGAAUCUCGAAAGCCGGUCUCAGUUCGGAUUGGAGUCUGCAACUCGACUCUAUGAAG